rnacentral:rRNA from 1 species
GACGAACCGUGCGAACGUUGUUCGGAUUCACUGGGCUUAAAGGGCGCGUAGGCGGACGGUCAAGUCAGGGGUGAAAUCUUUCAGCUCAACUGGAAAAGUGCCUUUGAUACUGACCGUCUCGAGGGAGGUAGGGGCAUGUGGAACUUCCGGUGGAGCGGUGAAAUGCGUAGAUAUCGGAAGGAACGCCGGUGGCGAAAGCGACGUGCUGGACCUCUUCUGACGCUGAGGCGCGAAAGCUAGGGGAGCAAACGGG